AUUAGAGUUGAUUUCCUUCCCUUUUUCCACAAAAAACCUAACAUUAGGGUUUCUAAUCUUCCCACAGCAGUCUCAUUAGUCAUUUGUCUUUUCCAUUGCAACUUUAUUCUUGGCAGCAUCCUUUUUGAAAUCAUGCCUCAAAAACUUCCACUUCCUUCCUUGUCCCCCAAGAUACCCCUUGUAACAAAUCAAGCCUUUUCUCCGGUUGUGCCAUCUUAAUAAGCAUCCUGACCAACAACUACUGAUUUAGUCUGGGAUUGCGACUCAAAAGAACCAAAUUGCAGAUAAAGCCCGCCUAGUUGUCAAGCUUUGACACCAAAUGUUAGGUAGGAACCCUAACAUUAGUUAUUCGAUGAAAGAAAUUAGGAGAAAUUAGUAGAACAGAAGAGAUACAAGUAUAGA
rnacentral:misc_RNA from 1 species